rnacentral:rRNA from 1 species
AUCAGCUAGUUGGUAAGGUAACGGCUUACCAAGGCGAUGACGGGUAGGGGACCUGAGAGGGUGACCCCCCACAAUGGAACUGAAACACGGUCCAUACACCUACGGGUGGCAGCAGUAGGGAAUAUUGCUUAAUGGGCGAAAGCCUGAAGCAGCAACGCCGCGUGUGCAAUGAAGGCCUUCGGGUUGUAAAGCACUUUUUGCCGGGAAGAGGAAGGACGGUACCGGCAGAAUAAGCCUCGGCUAACUACGUGCCAGCAGCCGCGGUAAAACGUAGGAGGCGAGCGUUAUCCGGAUUUACUGGGUGUAAAGCGCGUGCAGGCGGUUUGCUAAGUUGGGUGUGAAAGCUCCUGGCUCAACUGGGAGAGGUCGCUCAAGACUGGCAGACUCGAGAGCAGUAGAGGAAGGUGGAAUUCCGGGUGUAGUGGUGAAAUGCGUAGAUAUCCGGAGGAACACCAGUGGCGAAAGCGGCCUUCUGGACUGCAUCUGACGCUCAGACGCGAAAGCUAGGGUAGCAAACGGGAUUAGAGACCCCGGUAGUCCUAGCCGU